rnacentral:rRNA from 1 species
AGAGUUUGAUCCUGGUCAGAAGNAACGCUGGCAGCGUGCAUAACACAUGCAAGUCGACGGGAUUAUUAUCUUCGGAUGAUAUGAGAGUGGCGAACGGGUGAGUAACACGUAGAAUCUACCUUUAGGACGGGGAUAACUUCUGAAACGGAUGCUAAUACCCGAUAUGCUGUGGAGUGAAAGGAAUUUCGCCUAAAGAUGAUCUUGCGUCUGAUUAGCUAGAUAGUGUGGUAAUGGCGCACUAUGGCGACGAUCAGUAGCUGGUCUGAGAGGAUGGACAGCCACAUUGGAACUGAGACACGGUCCAAACUCCUACGGGAGGCAGCAGUGGGGAAUUUUCCGCAAUGGGCGAAAGCCUGACGGAGCGGCGCUGCGUGAAGGAUGACGGCCUGCGGGUUGUAAACUUCUUUUCUCGAAGAAGAAUAAAUGACGGUAUUCGAGGAAUAAGCAUCGGCUAACUCUGUGCCAGCAGCCGCGGUAAGACAGAGGAUGCAAGUGUUAUUCGGAUUGAUUGGGCGUAAAGCGUCUGUAGGCGGUUUGGAAAGUCUUUUGUGAAAUUCUUCAGCUCAACUGGGGGUCCGCAAAAGAAACUUCUAGGCUUGAGGGAAGUAGAGGUACAGGGAAUUUCCG